rnacentral:rRNA from 1 species
GACGAACGCUGGCGGCGUGCUUAACACAUGCAAGUCGAACGGAAAGGCCCUGCUUUUGUGGGGUGCUCGAGUGGCGAACGGGUGAGUAACACGUGAGUAACCUGCCCUUGACUUUGGGAUAACUUCAGGAAACUGGGGCUAAUACCGGAUAGGAGCUCCUGCUGCAUGGUGGGGGUUGGAAAGUUUCGGCGGUUGGGGAUGGACUCGCGGCUUAUCAGCUUGUUGGUGGGGUAGUGGCUUACCAAGGCUUUGACGGGUAGCCGGCCUGAGAGGGUGACCGGCCACAUUGGGACGGAGAUACGGCCCAGACUCCUACGGGAGGAAGAAGUGGGGAAUAUUGCAAAAGGGGCGGAAGCCUGAGGCAGCAACGCCGCGUGCGGGAUGACGGCCUUCGGGUUGUAAACCGCUUUCGCCUGUGACGAAGCGUGAGUGACGGUAAUGGGUAAAGAAGCACCGGCUAACUACGUG